rnacentral:rRNA from 1 species
CCUACGGGUGGCAGCAGUGAGGAAUAUUGGUCAAUGGACGAGAGUCUGAACCAGCCAAGUAGCGUGAAGGAUGACUGCCCUAUGGGUUGUAAACUUCUUUUAUAAAGGAAUAAAACGAGGCACGUGUGCCUUUUUGCAUGUACUUUAUGAAUAAGGAUCGGCUAACUCCGUGCCAGCAGCCGCGGUAAUACGGAGGAUCCGAGCGUUAUCCGGAUUUAUUGGGUUUAAAGGGACGCUAGAAGGGUUUUUAAGUCAGUUGGGAAAGUUUGCGGAUCAACCGUAAAAUUGCAAUUGAUAAUGGUCGUUUUGAGUAACGUUGAGGGUGGAGGAAUUCGUGGUGUAGCGGUUAAAUGCUUAGAUA